GUGCCAGCMMGCCGCGGUAAUACGUAGGGUGCGAGCGUUGUCCGGAAUUACUGGGCGUAAAGAGCUCGUAGGUGGUUUGUCGCGUUGUUCGUGAAAUCUCACGGCUUAACUGUGAGCGUGCGGGCGAUACGGGCAGACUGGAGUACUGCAGGGGAGACUGGAAUUCCUGGUGUAGCGGUGGAAUGCGCAGAUAUCAGGAGGAACACCGGUGGCGAAGGCGGGUCUCUGGGCAGUAACUGACGCUGAGGAGCGAAAGCUUGGGGAGCGAACAGGAUUAGAUACCCUGGUAGUCCACGCCGUAAACGGUGGGUACUAGGUGUGGGUUUCCUUCCUUGGGAUCCGUGCCGUAGCUAACGCAUUAAGUACCCCGCCUGGGGAGUACGGCCGCAAGGCUAAAAACUCAAAGGAAUUGACGGGGGCCGCACAAGCGGCGGAGCAUGUGGAUUAAUUCGAUGCAACGCGAAGAACCUUACCUGGGUUUGACAUGCACAGGACGCCGGCAGAGAUGUCGGUUCCCUUGUGGCCUGUGUGCAGGUGGUGCAUGGCUGUCGUCAGCUCGUGUCGUGAGAUGUUGGGUUAAGUCCCGCAACGAGCGCAACCCUUGUCUCAUGUUGCCAGCGGGUAAUGCCGGGGACUCGUGAGAGACUGCCGGGGUCAACUCGGAGGAAGGUGGGGAUGACGUCAAGUCAUCAUGCCCCUUAUGUCCAGGGCUUCACACAUGCUACAAUGGCCGGUACAAAGGGCUGCGAUGCCGCGAGGUUAAGCGAAUCCUUUUAAAGCCGGUCUCAGUUCGGAUCGGGGUCUGCAACUCGACCCCGUGAAGUCGGAGUCGCUAGUAAUCGCAGAUCAGCAACGCUGCGGUGAAUACGUUCCCGGGCCUUGCACUCACCGCCCGUC
rnacentral:rRNA from 1 species